rnacentral:lncRNA from 1 species
CUCCACGAUCACGAAACACUUGAGAGAAACAGACAUCCCCAGCUUUUCACAUGUGAUCCUGGUCAUAAAACAAAAAAUCAUUUAAAACAGAAAACACACUUUUAUGCAUUUCAAAAACCUUGAUGCAUAGACCAUGUUACAAGUUCAACUAAUUUCAUAAUUAGUAUUUUAUCAUCGUUUUCCAUAUACAUACACGUAUGUAGAUCAAAGCCAUGCGAAAAGGCAACAAUCAAGGAAAAAUUACAAGCACAGAAAAGGAAUUGAGUAGUAAAGAACAAGCAAUUGCUAUAACACUCACCUUUAGGUCUUGCCAUGAAGCAGAAGAAGGUAAACCAGUCACCAAAACUUCAUAUAAAGGGAUUAUGAGGUUAACUGAACACAACAGCAGUUUGCCAAACUACAAAGAUGAUUUGGAAAACUAUACAUACCGCGAUAGUUAGAGCGCCUGGAAGGCCCACGGCUACUGCUACCACUGUAACUACUAUAACGAUC